rnacentral:rRNA from 1 species
CGCGCAGGCGGUCGUUCAAGUCGCGUGUGAAAGCCCCCGGCUCAACUGGGGAGGGUCACGCGAUACUGAUUGACUCGAAGGCAGGAGAGGGAAGUGGAAUUCCCGGUGUAGUGGUGAAAUGCGUAGAUAUCGGGAGGAACACCAGUGGCGAAGGCGACUUCCUGGCCUGUUCUUGACGCUGAGGCGCGAAAGCUAGGGGAGCAAACGG